GUUGAUCCUGGCUCAGAUUGAACGCUGGCGGCAUGCCUAACACAUGCAAGUCGAACGGCAGCACAGCAGUAGCAAUACUGUGGGUGGCGAGUGGCGGACGGGUGAGUAAUGCAUCGGGACCUACCUAGACGUGGGGGAUAACGUAGGGAAACUUACGCUAAUACCGCAUACGUCCUACGGGAGAAAGCGGGGGAUCUUCGGACCUCGCGCGGUUAGACGGACCGAUGUUUGAUUAGCUAGUUGGUAGGGUAAUGGCCUACCAAGGCGACGAUCGAUAGCUGGUCUGAGAGGAUGAUCAGCCACACUGGAACUGAGACACGGUCCAGACUCCUACGGGAGGCAGCAGUGGGGAAUAUUGGACAAUGGGCGCAAGCCUGAUCCAGCAAUGCCGCGUGUGUGAAGAAGGCCUUCGGGUUGUAAAGCACUUUUAUCAGGAGCGAAAUACUACUGGCUAAUAACCGGUGGGGCUGACGGUACCUGAGGCAAUAAGCACCGGCUACUU
rnacentral:rRNA from 2 species